rnacentral:rRNA from 1 species
UACGUAGGUGGCAAGCGUUUGUCCGGAAUUAUUGGGCGUAAAGCGCGCGCAGGCGGCCUUUUAAGUCUGAUGUGAAAGCCCACGGCUCAACCGUGGAAGGUCAUUGGAAACUGAAAGGCUUGAGUACAGAAGAGGAAAGCGGAAUUCCACGUGUAGCGGUGAAAUGCGUAGAGAUGUGGAGGAACACCAGUGGCGAAGGCGGCUAUCUGGACGGUUUCUGACGCUAAGACGCGAAAGCGUGGGGAGCAAACAGG